UUAGUUGGUGGAGUGAUUUGUCUGGUUAAUUCCGAUAACGAACGAGACCUUAACCUGCUAAAUAGUUACGCGAACCUUGUGUUCGUGGCCAACUUCUUAGAGGGACUACAUACGUUUAGUAUGUGGAAGUUUGAGGCAAUAACAGGU
rnacentral:rRNA from 1 species